rnacentral:misc_RNA from 1 species
CGCAAACAUGAUUGUUAAGCGCAGACUUAUGUCACCCUCCUUUUGAGAAAUUAUAGUUCCAGGUUGGCAACGGUUAGAAUCCAACGCUAGGUGAGGAUGAUUUUUUUGAUUCCCUAAAUAAUAUGAAGGGUCCAGAUUUCCCCGUCCAGUCUAAGUUAUUUAUACCCAAGAUAUUCUAUAAAGAGUUCUGAUCUUUUCACUGCCACCACCAGUCCACCACCAUCUCUCCCUCGGCUCUCCUUCAUAUUAGCGAACGCGUAAAACAGAAAGGUCCAAAGAGAGGAAACAACGAAAGCACCGCAACUCUGCUGUGGUUGUGGUGGUUUUGUUUUUUCUAUAAAGAAUCCCAGAAGGAAGCAUUUCUGCGAGAAGGGAAGCUUCUCGCGCUUAGAUCCCAGUCGCAUCUGCUUCUGGUUACAUAAUAAAGUGCCAGGAUGGUUGCACAGGGCUUCACUGUUGAUCUCAAUAAGCCUCUUGUCUUCCAGGUUGGUCAUCUGGGAGAAGAAUAUGAGGAAUGGGUUCAUCAGCCUAUUGUAAGCAAGGAAGGCCCUCGAUUUUUUGAGAGUGAUUUCUGGGAGUUCCUGACUCGCACGGUUUGGUGGGCAAUUCCAGUUAUUUGGCUGCCAGUUGUAUGCUGGUGCAUCUCAAAGUCUGUGCGAAUGGGCCACACACCUUUUGAGAUGGCCUUAAUGGUGGGUUUUGGCAUUUUUAUCUGGACAUUGUUGGAAUACAGUUUACACCGCUUCCUUUUCCACAUCAAAACAAAGAGUUACUGGGGGAACACCUUACACUAUCUUCUUCAUGGCUGCCAUCAUAAGCACCCUAUGGAUGGUUUGCGGCUUGUCUUCCCUCCCGCUGCAACUGCUGUUCUGUGUGUGCUGGUAUGUGUACGCUGCCUGUUCUUUCCUCCUCCUUGACCUUUUCUCAAGUAUGAUUUUAUUGAUAUUAUCUAGCUGUUUAAUAAUUUUCAUGUGCAUGUCAAACUCCUGGCAAAAUCCUGUUAGUUCAGCAUAAUGAAAUCACCAAAUUUGUCUAGUGGAACAACAAAGGAGUGAAUGGGUUCAAAUGAACUGCAUUCCUUGUUACUUGUCAUAUACAAAGGUAUUGAGGAAAGGGCUCGAGUGAAGUUAGCUAAUUUCGAUGCUCUUGAUGCUGACAACUAAUUUUGAUUUGUUGGAAUCUGGUAAUUCAUUUAUUCUCAGCAGGAUGAUAGAUGAGUCAUUUACAAGGUCCAAAGAUUAUGUGGAUGUACACACUGUUUGACAACUAUCUGUUUGUGUAGGCAUAAGCUAACAAUAUUGUUAGUAAUUUUUUAUCCAUCUGUUUGUUUAGGCAACUUAUCUUUUAACUACAUUGAAGGAUACAUACGUCCCUUGUUUUGAAUUUGCUUAUAAACAUCAAUAUGGAUGUUUAAAGUCGACUUUUUGAUGCUAGCAACCGUUAAGUUGUUGCUCUUUACAAUAUUGUUGAGUUGUGCAAUCAUAUGUGCACUUUCCAUAUUAUAUUUAACUGCAAAUUUGUGUUUUUGCCAGUUCUGGAACUUGAUUCAACUUCUAGCCACUACCUCAACUGCUCCUGCUUUGUUUGGAGGUGGUCUAUUGGGAUAUGUGAUGUAUGACUGUACUCAUUACUACUUGCAUCAUGGUCAGCCUUCAAGUGGAGUAUCUAAAAAUCUCAAGAAAUAUCACUUGAAUCAUCACUUCAGGAUCCAGAAUAUGGGUUUUGGAAUUACUUCAUCACUAUGGGACAAGAUAUUUGGAACACUUCCUCCAGUGAAAGUGGUUGAAAAGAGUAGAUAAUUUAAUGUGCAGGGUCAGGGUGGGUUUUGAAGUAUGAUCAUUACCUGAUUCCCAAGCAUUCUUUCUUCUCCAAUCAAUUGAUUUAUGGUUAAUCUAAAUGAUUUCUACUAGGGUUUUAGCAUAUUCUUGAAUAUUAUGAAUAUUGUGGUGUCUUUUUCUUAUGAGAAAUCCUGUGUAAAUUUGUUUGCCCAUUUAUUGUUUUGUUGGUGAAGGGAAAAAGAAGAAGCUUCAUUUGUCUAAUAUUUGCUUGAAGGUUUGAGUAUAUUUGCA